rnacentral:rRNA from 1 species
UACUCGAGUGGCGAACGGGUGAGUAACACGUGGGUGAUCUGCCCUUCACUUCGGGAUAAGCCUGGGAAACUGGGUCUAAUACUGGAUAGGACCAUCGUUUAGUGUCGGUGGUGGAAAGUUUUUCGGUGUGGGAUGAGCUCGCGGCCUAUCAGCUUGUUGGUGGGGUAAUGGCCUACCAAGGCGUCGACGGGUAGCCGGCCUGAGAGGGUGUACGGCCACAUUGGGACUGAGAUACGGCCCAG